GAGAACAACAGCUGAAGACUUCUGACUCCUUCUUGGACAGCUGGGCUGGAAAAAGAGACUUUUAAAACACCUUGGGGUCAUCACCACCAGGCAGAAAAUCCUGAGAUCUCCUCUGUGGGCGAGGAGAAUCCCACUGCUCCCUUUCCCUGACAAACUGAGCAGAGUCCAUGAACCCAGCUCUGUGCUGGACAGCAGAGCAGGACAGGGAGCUGUGACAUUCCAGCUUGUCCUGCCUGGAAGAAUCUUGUCCAUGCAAGAAUCAUGGCAGGAGGAGAGGGGCUCCUCCUGGAGCCUCAGCUUGCAGAGAUCUGUCUGUCCAGAGGCAGCUCCCGAGCACGGACACACCCCUCCCUCCCAGGCAGGACUCGGACCAGGCAGGAGAGGCCGUCAGGAAUUUAAUGGAGCUUGGCACUGGAAACUGUACAACAUUUACAGAGAACCACACGCUGUGUCUAUGUACACCCCUGCCCACUCCCAGAGCUCCCGGCCGGACACGGCACAGGCAACGACAAUCCUUGGAUGUGGAGUCACCAACAAGCUCCCCGAGCCUGCAUUUCGGGAUAUGGCUCCCCAGUCCUGGAUUUCAGGUGACAGGGAUUGCAGGAUCUCACUUCCCAAGCCUGGAUUUAGGGAUAUGGCUCCCCAGUCCUGGAUUUCAGGUGUCAGGGAUUGCAGGAUCUCAAUCCCCAAGCCUGGAUUUCAGGUGACAGGGAUUGCAGGAUCUCACUUCCCAAGCCUGGAUUUCAGGAUAUUUCUCCCCAGUUCUGGAUUUCAGGUGACAGGAAAUAAAGGAUCCCACUUCCCAAUCCUGGAUUUCAGGUGCUAGGGAUUAGAGGAUCCCAGUCCCCAGUCCUGGAUAUUGGGAUAUAGCUCCCCAGUCCUGGAUUUCAGGUGACAGGGACUGCAGGAUCCCACUCCCCAUCCUGGAUCUCAGGUGACAGGGACUGCAGGAUCCCAGUCCUGGAUUUCAGGUGACAGGGACUGCAGGAUCCCAGUCCUGGAUCUCAGGUGACAGGGACUGCAGGAUCCCAGUCCUGGAUUUCAGGUGACAGGGACUGCAGGACCCCACUCCCCAUCCUGGAUCUCAGGGACACCCCGCCGUGCUCAGAGCUGUCACCACUCUCCUUCCCACAACACCCUGCAGCGCCAUUCCCAAGCCGGGUCUUUCCCUGGAUUUUCCCUGAUCUUUGGAGUGCUAGAAGAUGGCAGUGCUGCCACCCUGAGUAUUUACAACCACUCCUCCUCCUCUCCUCACACCUCCAACACUUCCUCUCCUCUACCUUUCUACCACAUGCAAGAACCCCUUGGUUGCCUCCAAGUCCUGCUUCCCGUUGGGAAGCGUUUCAUUUCCAAAAGGCAACAAAAACACGGAAUCUACCUUCGCUCCCUGCUACCCCCUCUACUCACUGCUCCCCAACCCUUUACAACGUGCCUACAACCUUCCUACACCCUAGAGUAAAGCAGUUCUCUUUCAGUAGUGUCUCCCCCCAGCCCGUGGAUUGCUCCGGGGUGAUGUGAGGGACAGUUGGGAUGUCACCCCUCGGAGCACGAAGGAUCAAGUACUGGAAAGGAAAUGCCAAGUCUGAGCAACAAAAAUACAAAAAUAAAAAAUAAAAAAACCAAUCAAA